rnacentral:pre_miRNA from 1 species
AAUAGAUGACGCCGUUGAUUUUUUCUCAUGUGUUUGACCAUUCGUUUUAUUCAAAAAAUUUAUGUAAUUAUAAUUUAUUUUGUUAUGAGUUGUUUUAUCACUUAUAGUGCUUUAAGUGUGAUUUAUAUCUUAUGCAUUUGCAUAAAAUUUUUGAAUAAGACGAAUGGUCAAACAUGUAAGAAAAAGUCAACGGUGUCAUCUAUU